rnacentral:rRNA from 1 species
UACGUAGGUGGCAAGCGUUGUCCGGAUUUAUUGGGUUUAAAGGGUGCGUAGGCGGAUUGAUAAGUCAGUGGUGAAAGCCGAUCGCUUAACGAUCGAACUGCCAUUGAUACUGCCAGGCUUGAGUAUAGUUGAGGUAGGCGGAAUUGACAGUGUAGCGGUGAAAUGCAUAGAUAUUGUCAAGAACACCAAUUGCGAAGGCAGCUUACUAAAGUAUAACUGACGCUGAGGCACGAAAGUGCGGGGAUCAAACAGG